rnacentral:rRNA from 1 species
UACGGAAGGCAGCAGUGGGGAAUAUUGCACAAUGGGCGCAAGCCUGAUGCAGCCAUGCCGCGUGUAUGAAGAAGGCCUUCGGGUUGUAAAGUACUUUCAGCGGGGAGGAAGGCGAUGCGGUUAAUAACCGCGUCGAUUGACGUUACCCGCAGAAGAAGCACCGGCUAACUCCGUGCCAGCAGCCGCGGUAAUACGGAGGGUGCAAGCGUUAAUCGGAAUUACUGGGCGUAAAGCGCACGCAGGCGGUCUGUUAAGUCAGAUGUGAAAUCCCCCGGGCUUAACCUGGGAACUGCAUUUUGAAACUGGCAGGCUUGAGUCUUGUAGAGGGGGUAGAAUUCCAGGUGUAGCGGUGAAAUGCGUAGAGAUCUGGAGGAAUACCGGUGGCGAAGGCGGCCCCUGGGACAAAGCUGACGCUCAGGUGCGAAAGCGUGGGGAGCAAACGAGGAUUAGAUACC